UGGGCUGCACGGUGGUGCAGUUGGUAGCACUGUUUUCUUGCAGGAAGAAGGUCCUGGGUUCAACUCCCCACAGUCCAA